rnacentral:sRNA from 1 species
CGUGCAGCCACCUGCGGCACCUGCGCACUGGGAGCGACACGCUCGGGCAUAAAGUAGUGCCGGAAAGUUAGUUGCCGAGACCUGGUGGAUUGCUUUUCGUUUAUCAGUGCAGGAAAACGGUGUUAUAGUACUGCGUCACAACUAGCGCAGACUCUUGCAGUAUUUAGGCGGUGCGGCUUGGGAACUGGAAUCCACUUCCUGUCUUCCGCCUCAGGCUAGAGGGCGAGCGCUUCGCCGUGGGACUUUCUCCGCCUGGCUCCGCCUCUUGCCCCGGAAGUACUGACAGCCGACGGUGGUUUCUGGGCCCGUUUCUGAACAGCGCUUCCUUUUUGUCCGACAUCUUGGCGAGACUGCGGUGUCUGCUGCUACUCUCCGAGCUUCGCAAUGCCGCCCAAGGACGACAAGAAGAAGAAGGACGCUGGAAAGUCGGCCAAGAAAGACAAAGACCCAGUGAACAAAUCCGGGGGCAAGGCCAAAAAGAAGGUAGAAAUAAGACCUCUCUGAGAGAGACUAGGGGUCAUCUUCUCGUAACCCUCUAGUAAUAGGUAACUUGUAUAGUAAGUGGUUUUUCAGGUGUAGAUUUCUAGAGUCAAAAUGUUAGAGUUUAUCUUCCCGUUACCACUCGUUCUUUUUCCCAUUAGGAUCAUGAAAAUGAGUCCGUUGUGCAAAGUGUCUGUCCUUGUGCCUGCUGUUUUAUUUUUAACUGAUCUAGUGGGGCUCGGCCCCUGUUCUGAAGGCCAAAAACGUGUCGGUAUUUGUUUUUUUUUUUUUUAGUAAUGUGUAAUUUAUCUUUGAUAACGGUGGAGCAGAUUUCUCUGACGCAGAUUACUCGAGAGGAAAAGGGUGCUUCUGCCGGAAAUACUAACUUGUUUCUGUUUUGUUUUGGUGAGCAGAAGUGGUCCAAAGGCAAAGUUCGGGACAAGCUCAAUAACUUAGUCUUGUUUGACAAAGCUACCUAUGACAAACUCUGUAAGGAAGUUCCCAACUAUAAACUUAUAACCCCAGCUGUGGUCUCUGAGAGACUGAAGAUUCGAGGCUCCCUGGCCAGGGCAGCCCUUCAGGAGCUCCUUAGUAAAGG